rnacentral:rRNA from 1 species
CACAAUUAACGGUGGAUCACUUGGGUCCGUAGAUCGAUGAAGAACGCAGC